rnacentral:rRNA from 1 species
UCGAGGAUCUUCGGCAAUGGGCGCAAGCCUGACCGAGCGACGCCGCGUGCGCGAAGAAGGCCUUCGGGUUGUAAAGCGCUGUCGAGGGGGAGAAAGCCCGCAAGGGUUGAUCGACCCCUGGAGGAAGCACGGGCUAAGUUCGUGCCAGCAGCCGCGGUAAGACGAACCGUGCGAACGUUAUUCGGAUUCACUGGGCUUAAAGGGCGCGUAGGCGGGCUGUCAAGUCGGUGGUGAAAUCUUUCGGCUCAACCGGAAAAUCGCCUUCGAUACUGGCAGCCUCGAGGGGGGUAGGGGCAUGCGGAACUUCGGGUGGAGCGGUGAAAUGCGUAGAUAUCCGAAGGAACGCCGGUGGCGAAAGCGGCGUGCUGGACCCUUUCUGACGCUGAGGCGCGAAAGCCAGGGGAGCAAACGGGAUUAGAUACCCCCGUAGUCC